CCUACGGGGGGCAGCAGUGGGGAAUAUUGGGCAAUGGGCGCAAGCCUGACCCAGCAACGCCGCGUGAAGGAAGAAGGCUUUCGGGUUGUAAACUUCUUUUGACAGGGAAGAGCAGAAGACGGUACCUGGAGAAUAAGCCACGGCAAACUCCGUGCCAGCAGCCGCGGUAAUCCGUCGGGGGCAAGCGUUGUCCGGAUUUACUGGGUGUAAAGGGCGGGUAGGCGGGCUGACAAGUCAGAUGUGAAAUCCGGGGGCUCAACCCCCGAACUGCCUUUGAAACUGUUGGUCUUGAGUAUCGGAGAGGCAGGCGGAAUUCCUCGUGUAGCGGUGAAAUGCGUAGAUAUUAGGAG
rnacentral:rRNA from 1 species